AACGGAGGGAGCAAUCGUUAUUCGGAUUUACUGGGCGUAAAGCGCACGUAGGUGGCCAAGCAGGUCACAUGUUAAAGCCCCUUGCUCAACGAGGGAAAAGCAUGUGAAACCGUUUAGCUUGAGUUCAGGGGAAGUAGACGGAAUUCCCGGUGGAGCGGUGAAAUGCGUAGAUAUCGGGAGGAACACCUGCGGCGAAAGCGGUCUACUAAACUGAUACUGACACUGAGGUGCGAAAGCUAGGGGAGCAAACAGG
rnacentral:rRNA from 1 species